rnacentral:rRNA from 1 species
UACCAGCACCCCGAGUGGUCGGGACGAUUAUUGGGCCUAAAGCAUCCGUAGCCGGUCUUACAAGUCUUCCGUUAAAUCCACCUGCUUAACAGAUGGGCUGCGGAGGAUACUAUAAGGCUAGGAGGCGGGAGAGGCAAGCGGUACUCGAGUGGGUAGGGGUAAAAUCCUCUGAUCCAUUGAAGACCACCAGUGGCGAAGGCGGCUUGCCAGAACGCGCUCGACGGUGAGGGAUGAAAGCUGGGGGGAGCAAACCGG